rfam:Freshwater sediment metagenome lwFormaldehyde_BCIB33301_b1, whole genome shotgun sequence.
AAAGAGCCCCACAAAGAAAGGAGUAGCGACCCACUUUGGCUGCGAGUCUUGCGCGAUGUCCGGCGACGGGCAUGGCGAAGCGUAGACAGCAGAAUCAGCGGGCUGGGCUAAUGAGCUUCGAAAAGUACCUCCCGGACGCCGACCUUGUUCAUAUAAGGGGAAGGCAACACGGUGCGUCUCGUAAAUCGCGAGAGGCGCGCCGGUCCGGCGUAGUCAGUGAACC